rnacentral:lncRNA from 1 species
CCCGGCGCGGGGGAGGGGGCCCGGGCGAGGGAGCUGGGAGUGGGAGAGGGGGCGGGGAGGGGAGAACAGCAAGUGUUACAACUUCCUUCCCGGCCCACCGCCCGGCCCCGGCGGGCGAGGGACGCGGCGAGGGGAGGGAAGCGCGCGCCGAGCGCCAAUGAGUUCACUUUCUUUUUCUCCCCCUCUCCCUUCGCGCCGGCCCCCUCCAGCCUCCUCUGCGGUCGACGCCGGCCCGGACUUUUCGGGGCUCUGCCCGCGAGCUAGAGGAUGGAGGAGGCGUGAGAGGAGGAGGAGGAGGAGGAGGAGAGAAAGGUGAGGAGGCGAGCGGGGCGCUGUGCCAGGGAGCAGAUUCCAGGACCGCGAUCGUGUGAAGGGGACGCUCUGGGCCAGACCAGGCGCGUACACGUGUCCGUGUCAGUGUGGGGUGUGUGUGUGUGUGUGUGUGUGUGUGUGGUGUGUGUGAGAGAGAGAGGGGGAAGAGGGGAGAGGAGCCUACCAUGCGCUUCCCCCGGUGCUGGUCGCGGGAGAGCCCAAUCGCGGGGCGAGCUGGACCGGGAUGCGAUCAUUUAUAAUCCUAGACUCCUCCGCUCCGCCACUUGUCAGGAUGACAGGGUGGGCAUUUCAGGUCAGCUGAGUCACCCGAGGAGGCGGGAGUGCAAGACACUGGUGGAAAGAUGGAUUCCGAGGCCGAAGGGUGUAAUUAAGGAUUGCCACCCCCGGCGGGCGGCCCGCCCUUGACGAGCCUCGGAAAAUGCCCUGUGCCUUCCUUUCCCGAGAGUCUUCUCUUCUGAAACUGAAAAGCGCAAAUGACCUUCGGACGGGAGAGGGCUGCACGAAGCCCUCAGACUUCGCUACGAGCCGCAGCUCUACGCUGUAGACCUGGUGUCUGCCCCCCGGGUUCGAGUGCCGGGACCUCCGAGGAACAGGACCUGGCCAGGGCGCACCCUGGGGUCCUCUGAAGCCUCCAGACCCCCAUCCGUAUUCAAACGCGUCCUUACAGACUGUCUCUUCCGUCUCUCCUCUCUCCCUUCCCCUCCCCUCUUCCUUCUUUUCCUUCUCUAAGCAGCCCAACACUGCCCCGGUCUCGAGUUUGUUAAGAGAAGGGGAAAAAAGUUUACUGCUCUCUGCGACACAUUGCCACUUGCUACUCGCUUAAAUUCCCACUAAAACUCUAGCUGCCUGACCCCCAGUUCCUCUCCCCAGGCCCCUGGGGUGCAGAAAGCCCGCCUGCAGAGCUUCCUAAAUCUGCCCAAAGUUCUCACUCUUUGGAGUUUUGGAACCUGAAACCCGCGCCCUUCCCGGAGCCGCUCUCCGGCUCACGCGGUGAGGCGGCCGGCGUGGAGCUCGCGCGUGCGAAGGACGGGUGCGCGAGGUUCCCCGUGGGGCGCCCCGGCGUUCCCGGCCCUCCCCAGGGGCCCGCGGCCGUCCGGGCGGUGGGUGAGAGUCAGUGUUUCGGCCUGCCCCGGCCCGCUGCCAACCUGUCCCAACAGCUUGGUCGAGGGACUGCUCUGAGCCCACUGCACCUUCCCUGCAACUUCAGAGCGGGGAUAAAGACCUAUACCUAGCCUGACCCGAAGGAAGGAGAUUUGUACUUUCACCUGCGUCUGUUUGCAAAGCAAGAUCAAAUCUAGCACUCUCGAAAGCAAAGGGCAACGCCUCCUAGGAAAGCCUGAAUUUUUAUGAUCGAGUUUCUCCAAGUUUGGGGUGGAUCUCAUGUGUGAACUCCAAUUACAGUACCCAGACCCGGCCUCGAGUUCCCGUAGUUGCUAAGUGACCUAUGGAGCCACAACGUGUUAAGUCUCAGUAAUAAGCGAACCCCACCCGGCUCCUGGGGCGCUAGUGACACACCACACGGGCAUCUUUCCGGGAACAUCCCGAGUUGCCCUAGGGUGGGUGCAUCGGUUUCAUUCCUGCCACGUGCACUUCAUACUGGGGGGGGGGGGUCGGAUGCACCAUAUCUCCCUCUCCUGCUAGCUAUUCUCAUUAUCCUGAGAAAUUAGCCAGCUAUGAAAAUAUCGCAAACUGCUCAAAAUUUGCACACCUGAUAUAACCCUAAGGACACUGAAGGUAUUUCAUAAAUCAGUUUUGUGGCCCAGAUCCCACAAAAGCAUUGUGUUUGAAAACUUUUAUAACUGUCCAAGACUCCCCCUUGCUCUUUUGUACUCUGCUAUCCCGGAAUACUCAAUAAAAAGAAAAGACACUGUGCUCCAUGCCCAAAGAAGCCAGAACAGAGUGCUACAUUAGGGAAAUGGGGAGAGGUUUAAGCUCUUUUUUUUUUUCUAGAACCCUCAUAGUUAACGCUAGUAAUAAACGAAGGAAACAAUAGAACUCACAAAACUUAGAAAAGGUAAUAAAUCUUGGAGCCUGUCUCUAGACUACUUCCCUGUUAAAUGAUUUUCAAAGUUUUAAGUUUGUGGUGCUGAACAUUCACUCAAAAUGGUUGCAAUAUAUAUAGAAAAGAAAAAAACCUAGAAUUCAUUACUGUAGUCCUGUGCGUUAACCGCCCAGAGUGGCGGGUGCACAAAGCGCAGAUGACCUCCUGCGCCGGUAAGGCGCAGCCUGUGGUAAUUCAGGCAGUGUAUGUAUGUGUGUUAAACUUGGGGGGGGGGGCGAGCGAGGAGGGAGACAGAAAGAUCGGUCACUGGAGAUCACCGUUAGGAAAAGCUGACAUGCAUUGCCAAAGUGUACCAACUCACUUCCUCCUCCACAUGCAUCCCUGGAAAGCAGAGAGGCAGCUCGCUACGUGACCAGGAGGCACUUGGCCUCCAACUAUUGUCAUGGGAGGGCGAGGAGGGAGGGUAGCUCACGCCUUGCCCUUCGCAGCGAUAAAAACUAGGAGAAGAAAUGCAAGACUUCGCUAUCUGUCUUGCAGACCUCUGGCUGCUGCUCAGAGCAAACUCUUCCCACAAGGAUGGUGACUUUGCGGUGGUGUUGACGCAGCCUGUAGGACACUGGAAUAAUGGGGCUGGGGUGAGCUGGUGGCAUCCCUGUCCCGUGGGGUCCCCCUUGUCUCACAGAUACGCAGCUCUCUGAAAAGAGAAUGUGACGGAGCUCCCAGCACAGCCCGUGU